GAAUUUAAUAUAAUUGAAUAUAAUGAUAAUUUUUAUAUAAAUUUAUGAGCAAUUAUAAUUUAAUUGGGAGGAUUAUUAAAUUUAAUAAACUUUAAAAAAAUAAAAUAUAGAUUAGUAUAUAAAAUUUUGUAGAAUGAUUAGUAAAUUAAGUGAUAAUUAAUUACCUUAGGGAUAACAGCGUAAUAUUUUUAUAGAGAUCUUAUUGAUAAAAAUGAUUGC
rnacentral:rRNA from 1 species